rnacentral:rRNA from 1 species
AUUGAACGCUGGCGGCAGGCCUAACACAUGCAAGUCGAACGAGUGGCGGACGGGUGAGUAAUGUCCGGGAAACUGCCCGAUGGAGGGGGAUAACUACCGGAAACGGUAGCUAAUACCGCAUACCAUCGGAUGUGCCCAGAUGGGAUUAGCUAGUAGGUGGGGUAAAGGCUCACCUAGGCGACGUUCUCUAGCUGGUCUGAGAGGAUGACCAGCCACACUGGAACUGGGACACGGUCCGAACUCCUACGGGAGGCAGCAGUGGGGAAUAUUGCACAAUGGGCGCAAGCCUGAUGCCGCCAUGCCGCGUGUAUGAAGAAGGCCUUCGGGUUUUAAGGUACUUUCAGCGGGGAGGCGUUACCCGCAGAAGAAGCACCGGCUAACUCCGUGCCAGCAGCCGCGGUAAUAC